rnacentral:rRNA from 1 species
UUCCGGUUGAUCCUGCCGGACCCGGCUGCUAUCGGAGUGGGGCUAAGCCAUGCGAGUCGUACGCUUCUUGACUGCAAGAGGCGUGGCGAACGGCUCAGUAACACGUAGCUAACUUAACCUAGAGACGUGGAUAACCCCGGGAAACUGGGACUAAUCCGCGAUAGAUCAAGGCUCCUGGAAUGGGCUUUGGUCGAAAGGGAUGGACAAGCAUGUUUUGUCCAUCUGCUCUAGGAUAGGGCUGCGGCCGAUCAGGUUGUUGGUGGGGUAAUGGCCCACCAAGCCUAUAACCGGUACGGGCUUUGAGAGAAGGAGCCCGGAGAUGGACACUGAGACAAGGGUCCAGGCCCUACGGGGCGCAGCAGGCGCGAAACCUUCGCAAUACGCGAAAGCGUGACGAGGUCACUUCGAGUGCCACUCGCUGAGGGUGGCUUUUCCCAAGUCUAAAAAGCUUGGGGAAUAAGGGGAGGGUAAGUCUGGUGUCAGCCGCCGCGGUAAUACCAGCUCCCCGAGUGGUCGGGACGUUUAUUGGGCCUAAAGCAUCCGUAGCCGGUCUUGUAGGUCUUCUGUUAAACCCAACGACCCAACCGUUGGACUGCAGAAGAUACCGUAGGACUAGGAGGCGGGAGAGGCGGACGGUACUCCAUGGGUAGGGGUAAAAUCCUUUGAUCCAUGGAAGACCACCAGUGGCGAAGGCGGUCCGCCAGAACGCGCUCGACGGUGAGGGAUGAAAGCUGGGGGAGCGAACCGGAUUAGAUACCCGGGUAGUCCCAGCCGUAACGAUGCGAGCUAGGUGAUGGAAUGGCUGUGUGCCAUUCCAGUGCCGCAGGGAA